GAGGACAGCUUGGUUGUCAUUAAAUGGCCAUUCAACUCAGAGCAGCAAAUCUCCAUUGUGGCUUGGAUGUUCUCUUCUCUGAUGGUAAUGCCUGGAGGAGAUCACUGGAAGCAUUUUUGUCUUCAUCAGGGCACUGAAACCUGCUUGAUUCUCUGAUUCUCUGGAAGGGACCCUCAAAGGUCAUCUUUGUCCAGCCCCCUGCAAUCAUCAGGGACAUCUCUAACUAGAGCAGGUUGCUCAGAGCCCCAUCAAGUCUGACUUGAUGCAGUCAGCAGUGAAACAGAAACCUCUGAAGGGAAAAAAAAAUGCCUCUUCUGGCCGUGCCAGAUCUUCCUGCCUGACUUCUGGCUGAAUGGUUUAAUGCUAUGUUGCCAAGCAAGCUUUCAUCUGCUCUUUGAGUCUUCUUCCUCUAAU